rnacentral:rRNA from 1 species
GAGUUUGAUCAUGGCUCAGAUUGAACGCUGGCGGCAUGCCUUACACAUGCAAGUCGAACGGCAGCAUGAUCUAGCUUGCUAGAUUGAUGGCGAGUGGCGAACGGGUGAGUAAUACAUCGGAACGUGCCCUGUAGUGGGGGAUAACUAGUCGAAAGAUUAGCUAAUACCGCAUACGACCUGAGGGUGAAAGUGGGGGACCGCAAGGCCUCAUGCUAUAGGAGCGGCCGAUGUCUGAUUAGCUAGUUGGUGGGGUAAAGGCCCACCAAGGCGACGAUCAGUAGCUGGUCUGAGAGGACGAUCAGCUACACUGGGACUGAGACACGGCCCAGACUCCUACGGGAGGCAGGCAGUGGGGAAUUUUGGACAAUGGGCGAAAGCCUGAUCCAGCAAUGCCGCGUGUGUGAAGAAGGCCUCAGUGUAAGCACUUUGU